rnacentral:rRNA from 1 species
AAUGAACGCUGGCGGCGUGCUUUGCACAUGCAAGUCGAGCGAGGCGUUCCGCAAGGGACAGUCGAGCGGCGAACGGGUGAGUAACGCGUGGAUGACCUGCCCUGAGGUGGGGAAUAACCCGGGGAACUCGGGCUAAUACCGCAUAUGACCGCGAGGUCAAAGAGGGGUCGCAAGAUCUCUUGCCACAGGAGGGGUCCGCGUUCGAUUAGCUAGUUGGUAGGGUAANGGCCUACCAAGGCGACGAUCGAUAGCCGGCCUGAGAGGGUGAUCGGCCACACUGGAACUGAGACACGGUCCAGACUCCUACGGGAGGCAGCAGUGGGGAAUUUUGCGCAAUGGGCUAACGCCUGACGCAGCAACGCCGCGUGGAGGAUGAAGGUCCUGGAUUGUAAACUCCUGUCAGCGGGGAAAAGGGACUCGACCUCAUACGUCAGGGACUUGAUUGUACCCGCAG